AUCCCUGGGCCUGGGCCUACCUAGGUGAAGACAGGCAUUUUUGUUUUCCUGCCCGGAUGUUGCAUUUCCCAAGACCACCCUGGCCUGCCAUGCCCUCAUCCUGUGCCUUUAAAAACCCCCGAGACCCUGGCAGGCAGACGCACAAGCAGCUGGACAUUGAGAGGAGCAUAUAGGCAGAGAAUACAGGGGCUGCUGGAUGUCGAAAGGAACGCACCAGCAUAGGAGCACACCGGCAUGCUGGCAGGCCAUUGACCAGCGGAAGAAUGCAGAGUUUGUCGCGGGAGGUCAGAGAAGAGUCAGGCCGCCAUACCUGACUCCAGGAGAAAACCGUCUCCCUUCUGGUUCCCCCGUCUGCCGAGAGCUACUUCCACUCAAUAAAACUUUCCACUCAUUCUUCAAGCCCACGUGUGAUCCAAUUCUUCCCGUACACCAAGGUCUCGCUGUGUUUCCCAGGCUGGGUGCAGUGGCUAUUCAAAGGUACAAUGAUAGCUCACUGCAGCCUGGAACUCCUGGACUCAAGCGAUCCUCCUGCCUCAGCUGCGACUAACAGGUCAAAACAGUCACAAGCCUGCUCAAAUUCGGAAAGAGGGGACGGAAAUGGAACCUCUUCAUGGGAGGAAGAAACAGGGUCUUGCUCUGUUGCCCUGGCUGGAGUGCAAUGGUAUGAUCAUAGCUCACAGUAGCCUUGAACUCCUGGGCCCAAGCCAUCCUCCUACCUCAGCAACCAGAGUAGCUGGGAUUACAGGCGAAUGCCACCACACCUGGGCAAGGAGCAGGCUCCAUGCAUGCAUUUGGGCUCUGUGGAAAAUCUAGCCAGGGAUGCGGGCCUUUCUGAACGCCGCUUUCAUUGUGCCCCCUGCAGCAUUAUCUCUUCGAUGCGAUGUCCCUGCUGACUGAAAUGCAGAGAAGCUACUAAGAUCCACACACCAGUUGCUGCAAUCGGUGCCCUGCUCUUUGUCCCCCAUUCACCCCAGGUGAUUCAGCUCUUCUGGCACUCCCAGUGAUUCCUGUGGGACAGGCCCAGAGUGGACUUCCCACGAAGAUUCCCAGACUGGGGGAGAGCUCUAAGAUCCACUUCCAAUUCCUUUGUCUCACCUAGGAGACUCUGGGUUUAUGGAAGUUCUCUCUGAUUAGUGCUGUUGCAGCUGGGUUUGGGGGUCAUGUAGUCUAAAUGAUUGUUUCUCUUACUGGUGGUGAUUUUUCCAGUUUCUGUGGGCCCAGUGGAUUUCUCUGCUUCUCCUUAGAGUUCUGGUGAACUCAGAAUGUUAGUGUUAUUCUUUUCUUUGAAAAUAGUUUCCAUUUGUAAUUUGCUUGGAGAGUGAUUCUGGGGGAUUCUAUUCUGCCAUCUUGCUGCUGUCACUCUUUAAUAAGAUUUGUAACUAAUUCUCAAAUUGUUCAUAGUCUUAAAACUACAUAGAGUUGAUUUCAUACAUUUUAUUAUGAGAACAAUAAAAGUAUUUUGUGUCUUUGCUAGUGAGAUUUUUAGUUAUACAGAAAUUACAGUGUUUCCUGCUAUGUUCAAUCAUUCCAAGAUUCAUUAUACAUAUGUUAAAUAUGUUAUACAUUUGUUUACAUAAUGCAUAUUUUAUUUUUUUUCUGAGAUACCCAAAGCAUAAUCUCCCUCACUAUCCUGAAUAAUUAUAAAUUAGUAUUUCAUAUAUGAUAGAAAAUUUGUGACAUCCACUAUUUUUAAGAACGGCUAGGCUGGGCGUGGUGGCUCAUUCCUGUAAUCCCAGCACUUUGAGAGGCUGAGGUGGGCGGAUCACGUGAGUUCGGGAGUUCGAGACCAGCCUGACCAGCAUGGAGAAACCCCAUCUCUACUAAAAAUACAAAAUUAGCCGGGCGUGGUGGCACAUGCCUGUAUUCCCAGCUACUCGGGAGGCUGAAGCAGGAGAAUUGCUUGAACCCGGGAGGUGGAGGUUGCAGUGAGCCGACAUCAUGCCAUUGCACUCCAGCCUGGGCAGCAAGAGUGAAACUCUGUCUCGAAAAAAAAAAAAAAAAAAAAAGAAGAAUGGCUAAUUUCAGAACAUGUUUAUAUGUAUGUUGUAUUCAAUGUCUUUAAUUAAAGUCUGUUUCUUUAUCCUAAUUUGUGUGGCAAACUAAUAUUUACCAUAAUAAAUGGCUUGAAGAAUAAAA
rnacentral:lncRNA from 1 species